CAAGGGUUUGUGGGUGCCUCUAAUUUUUUGCUAGACCCUUCAGACAAGUUCUCAAGAAUGACUUAUAGGAGAAAGUAGAGUUGUCAAGC
rnacentral:sRNA from 1 species